rnacentral:rRNA from 1 species
AACGAACGCUGGCGGCAGGCUUAACACAUGCAAGUCGAACGCACCUUUCGGGGUGAGUGGCAGACGGGUGAGUAACGCGUGGGAAUCUACCCUUCUCUACGGGAUAGCUCCGGGAAACUGGAAUUAAUACCGUAUACGUCCUGAGGGAGAAAGAUUUAUCGGGGAAGGAUGAGCCCGCGUUGGAUUAGCUAGUUGGUGGGGUAAAGGCCUACCAAGGCGACGAUCCAUAGCUGGUCUAAGAGGAUGAUCAACCACAUGGGGACUGAGACACGGCCCCAACUCCUACGGGAGGCAGCAGUGGGGAAUAUUGGACAAUGGGCGCAAGCCUGAUCCAGCCAUGCCGCGUGAGUGAUGAAGGCCCUAGGGUUGUAAAGCUCUUUCAGUGGGGACGAUACUGACGGUACCCACAGAAGAAGCCCCGGCUAACUUCGUGCCAGCAGCCGCCGUAACAC